rnacentral:rRNA from 1 species
CCUACGGGUGGCAGCAGUGGGGCAUAUUGGGCAAUGGAGGCAACUCUGACCCAGCAACGCCGCGUGAAUGAUGAAGGUCUUCGGAUUGUAAAGUUCUUUUCUAAGGGAAGAAGAAAGUGACGGUACCUUAGGAAUAAGCCUCGGCUAACUACGUGCCAGCAGCCGCGGUAAUACGUGGGAGGCAAGCGUUAUCCGGAAUGACUUGGCGUCAAGGGUGCGUAGGUGGUUCAGCAAGUUAGUAGCGUAACUCCGGGGCUCAACCUCGGCACUACUACUAACACUGUUGGACUGGAGUGCAGGAGGGGCAAGUGGAAUUCCUAGUGUAGCGGUGGAAUGCGUAGAUAUUAGGAGGAACACCAGUGGCGAAGGCGAGUUGCUGGACUGUAACUGACACUGAGGCACGAAAGCGUGGGGAGCAAACAGGAUUAGAUACCCGAGUAGUC